rnacentral:lncRNA from 1 species
AAAGGCAAGGACCUUGAUCUAUGAAAAGUACAUUGAUAGGAAAGGGUGAGCUGCUUAACUACUUGGAAGACAUGGUGGGCAGCCGUGUUAACAUAAGGCAAGAAAUCAAGAUUAAGAAAGUUCGCUCCAUAUGAAUUUGAAUUUGUCAUAAACCUUGUUUUUGACAAAUUCACAUGGAUAUGAACACAUACACCAUUAAAAUCUAAGUGUCACAAGAUUCCCUCCUUCAUGAAAAUGACUGUGAGGAAAUACUUUCACUAAAAGAGAUUUUAAGAAGAUAGUGAUUGUGAAAUUGUAUUCUCGAAUUUGAUUAUGGUUACGGUAUCCCUUUCCAUGAUUCGAAUUAUGAGAUUUGGCAAUUAGUCUUAAUUGUUUAGAUACACAUAUGAGCUAUCUAAAGGAAAGGUGUAUAAGCUUAGAUAAAGGAUUAUCAAAGCAUUAGGUAUUAGAAACAUGAACUUAAGAAAUUCAAUAGGUAUUGUUUUUCUGAAAGUUAAGUUGUUUCUAAGUACAUGUCAAAGCUAGUGGGAGCAUAAGUGUUAUGUUUAUAAUAAUCAUCAUGAUAGUGGGAGCAUAAAUUUUAUGAUUGUAUGAUUAUUAAGGCAAGUAUUGCAAGUUAGCAAUAUUAAUUAUAGAAAACAAGAGUCAUACUUUGCAAAGUUGUAAGGGUUGAAUAGUUGUUUUGCUAUAAUUAAGGGAGAGAAUAUUAUGCUUCAUUUCAAAUCUAAAGGCUUAGGUUGUGGAAUGUUAAUAAAUUUAGUCAAGGAUACAUAGUGUGUUCUCAAAUUUCGAUUAUGAUUACGACAUUCCUCUUCAUAGUUUGAAUUUUGAGAACAUAGCACAUAAAAUAUUAUGGCAGAAGAUUGAUAAAGUAUCAAAUCUUUGUGUAAGACAUUAUGCAUCGUGUCCCAUACGCUUCGGGUAUAGGAUCGAUUGCAAAUGCUAUAAUAUUUGACCAUUCUAAAAUUUUCCAAAUGUCUAGCGCAUUUAGAGGGAAAAAGGACAAGAAUCGGUUUUGACUAAGAUAAUUAAACAACUAUCAAAGGACAAUCCAAAGUUCGCCGAGGAUUGGUCGCUUGUGAGUAGUUGGAAGUAUAGUAUUGGAUGGACCAUAUCGACAUUAUUAUGAAUAGAUAAGAUUCUAUUAAGAAUGAGUUGUCAUAUGGAAAAUAUGGAAACGUGUCCAUAUUGGGAAUUGAAUAUUGAAAAUCUAUGUCUAGAUUAGAAACUUUUAUGCAAAAGGAUGUUCAAAGGAAUGUACUUUGAGUGAGAGACAUCAUAUCUAAGGAAUUGUCUUGUAACAAUCUCCGAUAGAGGACUUUGUAAUAUCAUUGGCAAUAGUCAUUGUGACUUUUGUGCAGUGACAUUACGAAAGGAUCAUUGCAUAAAAUGUUAGAAUCUAGCAUAUUCUAUAAGUAGCAAGAAUUUGAUAUUCUUUCACUUAUGAAAAAGGAUUUGGAGUUGUGAAAUGAGUAUGAUUGGAAAUGUGUUCAUUUGAUCUAUUUCACAAAGUAAGAACCAUAGGUAAACAUUGUGUGCAUGCUAAGAGCAUGGGACAAGUGUAGUAAUAAUUCAAGUAAGAAGUUGAUUACCCGAAACAACAAAUAAUGAGUAAUCGAUAUGGUGAUAAAUAAAAGGUGUUUUAUUUAUACUCAAAGGUUUGAGGCCAUAUGGGAUUAGUAUUAUUCUUGUGUUUCACUUUGCAUGUUUUGACUUCCUGAAUAAUUUAAUUGGUUUAGAACAGUCAAAUUAUUCGAACGGGCCACAGUCGUUCAUAUGUUGGAAGUAGGUAUGAAUGAAGACUGUCGUGAAUUGGUGUGUGGAUUGUCUAAAGAGCAUUAGACAUAAGCAAAUGUUUGCUGCAACGUUCAUGAGUGCUUAUGAAUAUGAUUUGAGCAUUGGAUUAAACCCACGCUCACUUGGAUCACUCCAUGAAUUGUAUCACGAGUGAUUGGUGAGACGAUAACAUCUUAUAUUCUUGAAACCGAGAUGUGUGAGUUGUAUCUUGCAAAUCGGUUGCACAUUGAUAAUAUGUAAACGCACUAGUAACUUGGUGUUAUAAAACAUAUUGUUGUGUGUGAUUCGGUGAGUGAGUGCAAGCAAGCAUUGUAUCAAAGUUUAUCCGUUCCUUUUAUCCAAAGUAGGAUAAAAGCGAUAUCUUUGGGCCCCUCGAUGAUUUAGUGAUGACAAACGUAAAUGCUCGGCCGGGCUAGGGCUAAUUUGAUUUGUUCAAUUAGUCAGUCGUCAUAAAUCGGAAAUCGAGAAAUAGUACAAAGAGAAUGAUUUGAAAUCAUAUCUCAUAUGAUAUCUAGAAUGGAGGAAUAUAUGAUCCCUUAUCUAAGGACACGCGUAUCUGAUAUGAUCAGAGUUGACAGCGGCUUUGGAAAGCUACGAUUGCAGAUCAGGAUCUGAAGUCAUACGCAUAAUAGUUAUUAGACUUAUCCAAGUGGGAGACUAUUGAAUUAGUGUCUAACUCCAUAACUAUUUUGGUAUGUACUUGACCCGAUGGUGCAUGGUCCUUUUGGGUUGCCUUCACCAAAGCAACUUGAUAGGAUGAAUUAUGGAGAGAAAGGAUUAAAUAUGAUUUAUUAAUAUAUUAUGAGAAUAAUAUAUUAAAGGAGAAAUCAUAUUGUUUAAUUAAUAUUAGUCAAGAAUUAAUAAGAAUUAAGUUUGUGGCUAAAAGACAUUAAUUAAACUUAAGGGACUAGAACUGUCAAUUGUGUGAUAGUUGAAUAUUGGGCUAAUGGACUCCAUAUUAAAGGAGUGGACGAAUUCUAUGGGGGAAACCCAUUAGAAAUCGUCCAAGGCUUUUAAGAAAGGAGUCCAUGGGUUGCUUAGGGCUUAAGCAUCCAAAUUAGGGUUUCCUUGUUAGAUAACCCUAAUAGCCUCACUAUAUAUAGAGCCCUUAUGCCCCAAAAACGUGGACAAGCUUCUUUCUAGGGUUUCUACAUGUUUUGGGCAGCCUCCUUCUCUUCUCCUCUUCAUCCUCUUGCUCUUGGUGUUUGUGAACCAUUAGAGGAGUGACAUUUAUGACUCUAAGCUUUCUAAAGUCAUUACAAGAAGGAUUUGAGAUUGUUAUUGCUACAUAACAAUCAAGGUAAUAUCUUAAACCCAUUCUUAUGUUAAUAUUGAUUAUCAUAUGCUAGAUUUAGGGUUUAAAGUCUUGGAUGAAUAGCAUGUACAAUAGAGAAACCUAGAUCCAAGCAUUAGGGUUGCAUGAGCACAUAGGAUGUUCUUAUGGCUAAAAUCCAUCAUAUCCAUGGAUCACCACAUGUGUUAAACCCAACAUAAGGAAUCAUGGAUCAUAAGCCACAUAUACAAGAGUGAAUGAUUUACACAAUCAAUCCCCAUAUAUUUAAUUAGUCUCUUUUUGAUCACUAAAUUUAGUCCCAAUUAAUUUUGAUCAAUACUAAUUAAAUAACAUGAUUUCAUAUUAAUAUAUUAGAACUUAUAAUAUAUUAAUAUGUCACAAAUGUCCUCUCCUCACAAACAGUCUAUCCAAAUGUUCUGAUGUCGUGCAACCCAAAUGGACCAUGCCGAGUCGGAUCAAGUACAUACCAAUUAUAGUUAUGGACUUAGACGCUAAUCUAACACGUUAGGCUUCAGAUCAUCCAAGCCUGUAGCAAAGUGGUUCAAGUCCUCUGGCCAGAGUUCGGGAUAUGUUGGAGGGAGGUGCGGACCUUGUGUAUGUCGUAGGUGUGGCGAGGAGGGUAAUUUUGGAAGAGACUGCAGGGGGAGUGCACAAGUUUGUUUUCAUUGCUGCUAGGAAGGCCAUAUUAGAGCUCGUUGUCCUUAUAUCGUUGUCAGUGAGGUGUUGGAUCAUACACCCUUAGCUUGGCAGUUUCCCGACAGUCGGCAUGGGGUGGCCGAAGUCCCGGAGACCGAGAUUUGAGCUCGCAGUUCUUCUUAUUAGUAAUUGUGGUAGUAGUGGUCUUUAUCCGUAAUUUCUGUUGUGUUUCAAAGUUCAGUUGUAACUCGGAUGAUCAAUUAAAUGGAAUUAUUCUGUUUAGCCUUGGUUAAUUUAAUUUCUUGUAUGAAUGAAUUAUUUAUCCUUGUCAUUAGAUUGUAUAUGUAUAUUGGGAUUUAUGAGUCUUGUGUGGGUUUAGAUUCUCCUGUGUACUUACAUAUCAUUGGUUGGGAUCAAGUAGUAGGGUUCAAGAUAGUCUAAGUAACUAAGAAUUUGAAAUUCAUUAGACUCUAGUAUAUCUCAAGUGGGGGAGGGUGGUACCUCAUACCAAGAAAACCUUGUGCCAAAGUUCGGUUCUCAGUUGAAUUUCUCCAAGUUCAAGACUUCUGUGUAAUUUUUGGAUCUUUCGCUUUCACGUUAAAGUCAUUUCAAGUUGUUGGAUUUCCUUCCUAAACUUAUUAGGUUUAGUUGUGGCAUCAUAAAUAGUGUGUGCUUGUGCUUAAAACUCUAGGGUGUUAAGGGCCCAGGUUGAGGGGUGUGAUGAGGGUCUCCUUGCAUGGUCUUAUUUGAUUAGGCCUUGGAGGUCUGAGUUAUGGUCUGAAGACCUGGUAGGAUCAGUUAAUUUUUUCGGCCCGAGUGUUUUCGUUGGUUAGUGGAUCGGGGUAGGCCCGAGUGUUGUUAUUGGAUAGUGGAUCGCAGUAGGCCCGAGUGCCGUUAUUGGUUAGUGGAUCUAGCUUAAACCUAGGUAGUGUCGGUAGAUAGCUAAGCAGGGUUGUCGGAACCAAAAUGAGUGUGGCCUAGUUUGGUAUAUGUCCAGUUAGUUCUCAUCACGAUGGUGCACACGACGUUGGCAGUGCAUCAGAAGGAAUCUUAAGACUCACUGAUGAAUUGGUUGGAACUAUGCGGUUAGCUGAGGUUGCAUUAGUAACUCUAUAAUCAUUCAGUUCAAUCACGGAGGUGGGAUAUUUCUAUGGCUUAGGGCAAAAAUCCAAGGUUCGUUCAUCGCGAGGGGUGGUAUUCCUGAUAAACAUUGAUUUUACACAACAAGAUGGUAGUUGUUAGCGGUGUAGAGGUGAUUCUCAAAAUGUAUUCAGAACUCAGAGAGUUCGGUCAGGCCGGUUCGUCACAGUAGAAGGAUGUAGAAGGGAAAGAUUUUGAGGACGAAAUCCAAUUUGAGUGGGGGAGAAUUAUAUUAACUCGAUUUUAAUAUUACCUUUUUGACCCUUGGAAUGAGUUGUUUUUGCAAAACGGCCCAUAGUGGCAUUAUUGUAAUUUUGGGCAAAUCAGAGUAUGUUGGGCGUACCGGCAUGGUAUGCGGGGAGUGAGGCCUUUUAAUGGAAUGACGCCUUUUGAUUAUGCUGAGCGUACUUUUUUUGGACCAAAAACCCUAAUCUUGAGGGUUUGGACCCUAUUUAUUGAUCCUUAAGUUCCCUAUCUUCACCCCAUUUCCAGCCUCCAUCAUUUGAGACGUUCCUUAGCAAACCCUAGCCCCUUUAGUGCAUUUUGAAGACUUUUGAGAGGUUUUUGUGUGUUCCAAAGGAGGAAGAAGGUGGUGGUGAACCCUAGAAGCUACAAGCAAGCUUGUAUCUGGAAGUUUUACGUCAUUCUCCAUCUCUAGAAGGUAAAAAGUUUCAACCUUGAUUAAUAAGUUGCUAUAUCUUGCUAGGAUGUUGAAAAUAUGAGCUUUUGUCCCCAAAUAUGUCCUUGUGUAUGACAUGUUAUUGAUUGUUGAGCUGCCCUUUUGGACGUAUUUCCAUGUCUUGGGCCAUAAAAUAUGAUCUUGGCCCUUGAGAUUCCUUUAUGCAAGCCAUUAAGAGCUUUAGUGGUUAAGACAAGUUAGGGUUUUGUUGUUGGGCUUGAUCUAGACAUCUAGAACCAUAAUGUUGGAAAAUUUAUAGUUUGGGAUUCCAUUUGUCACUAUGACUGAAAGUUAGACGUAGUGACUUAAGAAAUUAAGCCUUCAAAAUGAAGUUGUUAAGCCAUUGAAUACGUUGGGCAUAACUGUAGUACAUCGGUCGUACGCCUAUGGGGAGCCCGAUCUAGAUUGUGAGUAUGCGGGGUGUAAGAGCCGAGCUAAGGAGGGUUUCAAGAGAUGGUGUUGGAGAGGUAGAGGCUGAGAAUGGACUGGACUUGGGGAAGUUAAGGAGCUUAAAUAGGACUGAAACCACGACAAUAGGGUUUGGGCACCCAAAAAUCGUCAUAACUUCUAACGGUCGUAACUUCUUCGUUCUAACUCCGUUUUCAACGUUCUUUAUAUCAAUGUAUAGAUGUUGAAGAGAUCUCAAAUAUUAUCUAAAUAUAUUAGACUAAAAACUUCUCGAACAAAAAUCCAUAAUUCAUGCAAGAACCCGACCUAUGACUUUUCCUUUAUACCCUUCGACCCAAAACACAAUUCAAGUGAUAGAUCUGUCAACCAUCGUUACCUCUUUCCACAAGGUAUAAUAUUUACCUACUUCAGGCCCAAAGCUUUUACACAAUCGACUUCCGACCCUCGACCCUGAAAUAUGAAAUGACAGGAGACACGAUGUUACAAUUCUCCCCCACUUGAAUUAGAUUUUGUCCUCGAAAUCAGCUCUGGCUUCCACUUCAUGGUGCAACCCCUUACAUCAACCAAACUAACCAAAAACCCACCGAUUUGAUUGGCUCAAAAUGUAACGCCCGUAGAUCCAGGCUAGUCAAUUUAGAGACAAUAAGUGUCAAAAAUGACGUUUUGAUAGAAGAGUGUUUAGAAUAAAUAAUCUUAACUAAGUUGUAGUAUAUGUUACAAGGAUUCCGUACAUAUAAAGAACGUUGAAAUCCGAGAUAUAACGAAGAAGUUAUGACCUGUCGAAGUUUCGCGAUAAAACCGGCACGACACAGCGCGACGUAAAAAGUGAAUUUACGUUACAACGAUAUUUAGCCUUAGCGAUCUAAAUGAAAGUCGUAGAAUACGUUAAACCGAGAGCGUCCAUAAAAAGAAUGUCUAAAUCUAACUCCGUAUGAUGAAGUUAUGAUUUUUCUACGUUUCGACUUAGCGGUAUACAACCCAAAGUUUGAAUAUGAGAUCGAUGGUUUCUAGCCGGAACAAUCUAAACGAGAAUCGAAGAUCUCGUCGAUAGUAGUCCAACGGUUGAAAGACAGAAAAAUACGGACGUCGGAUGAAGAAGUUUUGAAUUUAUAAUAGAGUUUUUCUGUCCCGGCCUACUAAAAAUAACAUAAUAAAAAUAAAUUCAAAAUUAGCCGACGGAGUCUAAACAAGAGUUGUAGAGCAUACUCUCACCUAUGCGUAGAUAUAAAGAACGUCGAAAUCGGAGAUUGUAUGUGAGAUUUAUGAUUUUCUGAAGUUUGAGGCGCACAUCCCAAAGGGGGAACGCGCCGCGUUCGGAGCCUAGAGCCUGUCUCGUCGCCUCUCAAGUCCGAAGUUUAUAAGCAAUGACGCAUGGCGGAACACGCUGCGUUCAUUCAGGUAACGCGCUGCGUUUAGAGGCCAGACCCCUCCUAUAAAUAGAAAGCGAGGGUUGCCAUUUUUGUUUGCUAAAUCCUUUCCUUUCACUCCCUUAAUCUUCCUUUUUCUUGGCAAUUUAUACCCCCGAAGCCCCGAUAUCAUCUCGACACCCGAAGCAAGUCCCGACGCCCUGAAGAUCCCGAGAAAUAGAGUUGUCAAGCCGAAAAUCUGCCCACGAGAAGCCCAGUUUUUGUGAAGAUCUCCUGGUUUCACCGAACAAUACUGCUUUUAGAGCUGUAGUGCUGUCCGAGCAUCAUCUAAUCAAGUGAGUGUGUAGUUUCUUUCUUCUAAUACAUAGAUAUGAAUUAUUCUAAAUAAAAUACGUGCUACGUGUUUGUAUAAUAUUUGAUUAUUUGAAAUAAUUGUUGGAUGAAUGAUUUGUACAGGUUUUAAGCUGUAUAUAAAUGUAUAUAUUUUUAUCUACUAAUAUGUUGGGUAGAGCAUGGGUAGACAGUUGGUGUGUGAUGAAAUAAAAUGAUGAGAGGCAUCGAUGUGAUUGUGAUCUAGUCCUUCAGCAAAAUAUGGAUGACGAUCACAAACUCUUUCUAGACUGUCCUGUGGAAUGCUAGCAGGCUCAUAACCAGUAGGUGUUGGUGAACUUGGGUGUUCAUUUGUUGUAUUCUAUCCCCCUCAUGGUUGCCUUAGGAUAUUUAUUGUUGAGGAAACCCCUCUAUAGUUGUGUCCGUCCCGAUGAAAAUCCUAGAUUAGGUCCCUUGUGAUAGUUGUUGUUUUAGGGACAUAAAGUGAGGAUAACGGGAAUGGGUAAUCGGGUUAUUGUUGGUUGGUGAAAUGAAAUAUAAUUAUUUAUUGUGGGUUGAAAAUCCUAUAUACUCUCCAGGCUCCCAAGCUUGACCCACUCAGUUUUCUUUGUAUUACAGAUUAUGGCACGAGCGCAUAUGUUGGCUAACAUAACGAGAGAUUUUCGAUUAUAGGCCAGUAGUUAUGAAUAACUAUUGUAAGGUCUAUUUUGUUCUGUUUAUGCUUUUGGUCUGUAUUGAACAUGACAUCCCGAGAUUUUGUUAUAUAAUGAAAAUACAUUUCUUUAAAGAAAUGCUUUGAUAAAUUUUUAUCAUAUUUUGUUUUGGGAACAAAUUCCACAACUGUUUUCUGUAAAAGAUUACUAUGAUUUUAAAAACAAAGCAUAAACAAAUCGGUCUUUUCUGGCCGUGAAAUUGAGGAUGUCACACAAAACCUCCUCGGCCAAACGUCGUCAUGCUAAUCCCGCACAUAAGUGCACCAUAGUGAAGAGAACCAACUAGUCACAUACCAAACUGUGCCAUGCUCCUACUUGGCUCCGACAACCAUGCUUAACUACCUACUGACAACGCUCAGGCUUAACGUUGAUCCACUAACUGAAAACGGAACUUGGACCUACCCCCGAUCCACUAACCAGCAAGAACACUCGGGCCAACAAAAAUUAACUGAUCCUAGCAGGUCUUCGGGUUGUGACUCAGACCUCCAAGCCCCUAUAAAACAAGAGCAAACAAAGAAGAACUCAUCACAUCCCUCAACCUGGGCUCCUAUGUGACAUCCCUAUUUUCACAGCUAGAAAAGAGUGAUUUUGUUUAUGCUUUAUAAAAAUUAGAGUACCUCUUUUUAAUAAAAAUGUGCGGAAUUUGUUCCCAGUGAAACAUGAUAAAUACGUUAGCAGGGCAUUUCCGAAGAAGAGUAUUUUUAUUCAUUUUAAAACAUUUGGGAUGUCAUCGUCAAUACAGAAACAUAAGCAUAAACAGAACCUCUCAAUGUAAUGUGACUUCAUAUCAACACCUGUGAUAUAAAUAAACUGAGUGGGUCAGGUUGGGAAACCUGGUGAGUACAUAGGGUUUUCAACCCACAAUAAUAUAAUUAUUUUGUUUAAUCAUCAAACAGUUAACCCAAUUACCCAUCCCCAUUAUCUUUUUUACUCUUAAGGGUCUACCCUAAGAAUCAUCUAUUUCUCAUUCAUUCAUUCCUAAGGAUUAUCCUAAGGAAUAGGUACGAAGUCCAUCGCUGUCAAUGACACAACUAUCAAGCACAGCUGCUAGUUUUAUCACUUAGGCGCAGCUGCCAGAAUUGUGACAUUCUAUAUGAGGCGCAGCUGCUAGUAUCGUCCUUUCAGCACUGCUACUAGGGUUAUCUCGUUUAUUGACAGUAUCGUUUGCGAGAUUCCACUCGCAAUACAUGCCAAUGAGUUUUUAGAGUACACCGGUGAACACAUCGUUCACAACACCUAUAGGUUGCGAGCCUGCUAGUGUUCCACUGGACUGUCUAGAAUAGUCCGUGAUUGUCAUCCAUACUCUGCUAGAUGACGGGGCCAACUUUUGGGAACAAGGCUUCUCACAUCGUCCACCUCUCACCCUUACCUCAUGGUCUACAUCACCUCUCAACUCAUCAUCCAACUCAUAUUUCAUCUACCCAUGUUUUACCCAACAUAUUACAUAGAUAUAAAUAUAUAUACAUUUUAAAUCAUAUAAAACUUGUAUAAAAUCGUUCAUCCAGCAUAUAUAGCAAGUAUACAUAUAAUAUGCACACAUAACACGUAGUGUAUAUAAAAUAUUUCAUAUCUAUGUGUAAGAUGAAAGAGACCAUUCACUCACUUGAAAAGGUGGUGAUUCCGAACUCAGAUAGCCCUUCGCUUCUUAAAAAAUAAUUUCCUUCGACGAAACCUAGUAUUAUUACCACUAGAGUUUAGUCUAUUAUUCGUCGAGACUAAUUAAUAGUAUAGCUAUUAUUACUAUUAUAUAAGUGUUAAAAAAUACUUAUAUAACCCAUAAUAAUAGCUCAAGUACUUAUUAUAAGUUCCUAAUAACGUUACUAUAAUUAAAUAAAAGCUAUAUUAAAAAUAGCGUAGACGUAGCUCACUUACAGCAGGUUUUAUAGAAACUGGGCUUUGAUUGGAGCAGCGUUCCCAAGUCGAAAAUCUCUUCUUCUCUGAGCCGUCGAGCACUCCGGGGCUUCCGCCUCAUGCUAGGGAGGUUCCUUAGGCUUUUCGGGGGGUUUCGGGGCUAGAGAGUUCUAGAGAGAGAGUAAAGAGAAGAAAGAAUGGGAAAUGUGUGAAGAAAAUGAGGGUGGAAGGGGUUGUAUUUAUAGGGUGAAAUAUGGCUGAAAUUGGUGCCACAUGUCACCAUCUAGUGGUAAGCCUUGGGGAGAAAGUAAUGACCAAGAUUGUGCCACGUCACCCUUUUUGCGGCAACACCCUGCCGACUUCUAAAACCCGUAACUUUUGCAUAAGAGCUCCGUUUUCGACGUUCUUUAUAUCCACGCGUAGGUAAAAAUAAGAUCUACAACUUUCAUUUUGACUCCAUCGGCUACUUCUCGACCGAUCUUAAAUUUAACAGUACGAUGAGAUUAUACUGUUAAAUUUCCGCGUAAAAUUCAUAACUUCUACAUAUGAACUCUGUUUUCGUCUGUCUUUUUACUGUUGAGUUCCUAUUAAUGAGAUCUUAAAUUCUCAAUUAGGUCGCGUAGGCCAGAAACUGCUCGAUCUAAAAUUCGAGUUUCGGGGCGUGCACUGCUAUGCCAAAUCUUAGAAAAUUCAUAACUUCCUCAUACGAAGUCAGAUUUGGACGUUCUUUUAUUUGUAUGUUCUCAGUUUAACAUACACUACAAAUUUUGUUUAGAUCACUAAGGCUAAAAAGUACUUUAUCAAAAAUUCACUAUUUACGUCUCCCAGUGCCAUGCCGAUUUGGCCGUAAAACUUCGACGGGCCAUAACUUAUUCGUUAUAACUCGGAUUUUGGCGUUCUUUAUAUGUACGGAACCCUUGAGACAUAUUAUACAACUUGGUUAAGAUUAAUCCUUCUAAAUAAUCUUCCAUUAAAAACUCAUUUUUGACGCUCAUUGUCUCUAAAUUGGCUAGCCCGGAUCUGCGGGCGUUACAUCCUAACACCCUAGAGUCUAAAGUACAAGCAUGCCCUACAUAUGAUGCCACAACUAAAACUAAUACGACUUCAAGGGAAAUCCAAUAGAUGUCAAUGAACUUGACGCGAAACCGAAAAAUUUAGCAACUGUAUGGAUGUCUUGAACUUGGAGGAAUCUGACUGAGAACUGAACCUUGGCACAAGGUCUUACUGCUACGAGGUCCCACUCUCCCCCACAUGAAAUAUACUUGAAUUUGACAACUUCAUAGUCCUUUCUACUAAUUGAUCCCAACCAUUGAUAUCCACAUACACAACAAAAUCCAAAUCCACACAACAUUCACAAAUUCCAUUACGCAUACAAUCAAGGACAAGAUAAUUAAUCCAUUCAUAAUAAUAAUUCAAUUAAACAGAGCCAAAAAGACAAUUUCUUACAAUUUAUCAUCCAAGGUUACAAUCGGACUUCCAAACAUCAAUAAAAAUUAUAGAUAAAUACCAACACCGUAAUAAAUGCUAAAUAUAAGAACUGCUAACUCAAAUCUCGGUCUCCGGGACUCUAACCGUCCCAUGACGACUGUCCGGUAACUGCCAAGCUAGUGGUGAAGGAUCCAACACCUCACUGAAAACGAGAAAAGAAGAAUGAGCUCUGAUGUGGCCUUCUUGGACACAAUGGAAACAAACUCGCACACUUCGCCUCCAAUCUCAACCAAAAUGGCCCUCCUCGCCACACUUGUGAGAUACAAAAGAUUUGCACCUCCUUUCAGUUGAUCCCAAACUCCAACGCUAGGGAAGGUCCAAAAGCAAAAAUCCUAACUUAUUAAUCCAUUAAGACAUCACAACUAUUGCGUGGAUGGGAUAGAAGGACCAAGAUCACAUUUUGAUGGUUCCUAAUAGCUCCAUAAUGGAUAAAAUUUCCAACUUUAUCCAUUAGAAUGGUCCCAACAAACAAGAUAUAGUCAUUAAGUCAUAAACGGACCAAAAGUGCAUAUUUUUCAACUUAUAGCAUUAAGUCCAAGUCUCCAACAUUCCAAUUUGAAUAAAUAUGAUGUUUAGAUAGAUAAAGUUUCCAACUUUAUCCAUAACAACGUCACAAACUUCCAAGAUCUAAACUUUAUGCACUUAAAGUGACCAAAAGCUCAUAACACUCAAAAUUAGCUAGAUCUAAGAAGGUCUGGAUCUACAAGCUCCAAUGCAACCAACAAUUUUUCAAACUUUAUACCUCUAGAAGAAAGUUCAAACUUUAUACCUCUAGAAGAAAGAUCAAGGUGAACAAGGUCUGGAUCUACAAGCUCCAAUGCAACCAACGCUUUUUAAUGAGUUCCUUAUACUCCAAGGUUUACCAAGAACACUCCAAAGAAAUUAAAAACACAUUUUUUUUGCUCACAAGGCUUAAACUAGGGUUAGGUUUCAAGAGAAGGUGUUGUAAUGGUGGGGGAUAAGAAUGGAAUGGCUUUGCCGAAGUUAAGGAGCUUAAAUAGGGCUCAAACCAUGAAAAUAGGGUUUGGGAACUAGUUGUGUAUGCCCAACGUACUCCUGGUAUGUCCAGCGAACUAGGGAUGACCUAGUACGCCUAGCGUACACGGCUAACCCAAAAAUCGUCGUAACUUCAAACGGUCAUAACUACUUCGUUCCAACUCCGUUUUCAACGUUCUUUAUAUCGAUCGUUACCUCCUUCCACACUGUCUAAUAUUUACCUCCUUAAGUACCAAAGCUUUUACACAAUUGACUUCCCGACCAUGAACCUAAAAUAAGAAAUGACGGGAAACAUGAUGUUACAAUUCUCCCCCACUUGAAUUAGAUUUCCUACUCAAAAUCAGCUCUCGCUUCCACUUCAUGAUGCAACCCCUUACAUCAACCAAACUAAUAAAAACCCAUAGAUUUGAUUGGCUCGAAACCUCAUCGGCCAAACGUCGUCAUGAUAAUCCCCGCACAUAAGUGCACCAUAGUGAAGAGAACCAACUGGUCACAUACCAAAAUGUGCCAUGCUCCUACUUAGCUGUGACAACCCGAAAUUUCUAUUCUGAACAAUCAUUCACUUCAAUAGAAAUCAGAACUGUUCUUGCUAUCUGUUAAGCAUUUUGGAGUCAGUUUAAGUGUUUUAAAGCUUAGUACUUCAACGAAUACCAGGAGAGAGGAUGCCCUAGGUUCAUUGUGCAUCAUUUUCGCAAAAACUCCAAGAGUUAGGAGUUUUCGGCCCAAAUAGCAUUUGGACCGAAAACCCCCAUGAGUAUAUAUAUGACACUUAGUCAUAUUUUUCACUUUUUCACUCCUUCAAGAACAAGAACCAAAAUCCCCUCAAGUAUCAUCCGAUUUUUCUUUCUAGAUCUUUAAAACGUAAGUGUUUCUUACCUAUUUAGGUAGAUCUUCAAGUAUUCUUAGUUACACCAAGAACACCAAGAACACACACUAGUGUUUUGGGCCGAAACACACUUCUUUGCUUCCAUAUUGUAAGUAUCUAUCUUCUAUGCUUGUUAUCUAGUAAGGAUACUUAAUUUAGAGCCUUGAAAACAUCCAUUUAUCUAAGAAAAAAGGUGUUUUCGGUCUCGUGCAUCUCCUUAGACCGAAAACCCUUAUGAAAGGUGCAAAAUGACUUUAAGCCUUUCCUAAUGCUUAGUAUUGAGCCUAGAACACUUCUUUGCUUGUUGAAAGCCCUUGGAAAUCGCCUUAUGCAUCAAAGAUUAAGAGUUUUCGGUCAACCUUUUGGACCGAAAACCUGUUGGACCGAAAACCAUAUGGACCGAAAGCCAUAUGGACCAAAAACCACAAGAAACAUACCACUUGGACCGAAAACUCCCUUAAGUGGCUAUACAACCCUUAGAUACAACCCUUGUUACUUCUAGCACUUGAAUCAAAGUGUUUUUCAAAGUCCUAGGGUGUUUUAACAUGAUUAAUCAGUUGUUAAAUCACUAAUUAGUUACAUAUAUGUUUUACUAUGUUAACUAGGAUCACUGUGUGUGUUCAAUUCCUCACGGGACACUUAGCAUCCUUUACCAAUCCUACUAUCACAUCACUCAUUUCAAGUGAGUUCAUACCCCUUAAACAAACCUUUUAAAUGCUCUUGCAUGAUUUUAAAUACUUUUAUAGGGGGAAUAAAAUUUGAAUAUCAUAGUUAUUAUAUCAAUCACAUGUGAUUAAUAACUACCAAACAGAUGAAUUUACUAUACUAUCGAAACGUUUUACCAAACAAACUACUUUUAAAUAGCUUUAUAAACUGACAUCAAGUCAUGGUUAUUUUAUUGUUUCAAACCUUUUAAAUGUAUUACAAAACCUCUUUGUUCACUUAUGUAUUCAUAUAAAUCAUGUCUAUACAUUUAUCAAGUAAGUAUAUGUAUAUGCAUUUGAUAGGAUGGCUGUGACUGCAGCUCCAACACCUUGUAUAGCAAAUGUGUAUAAACAUACAUGGACACUUCCAACUACAUUACUAGCAAACUAUAAUAGGUAUAGUUUGGGAAAUACUACCUACUAUUCCUAGUACAAAUGGAACAUACAUGAGUCAGUUCAUUCAUGAGUCUAUACAACUGUAUUACAUACUAUAUGAAGGAAUACUAUUACAUACUAUAGGAAGAGAUACGAUUACAUACUAUAUGAUGAGAUACUAUUACAUAUUAUAUGAGUAGAUACUAUUAUAUAAGUACGGGACUAACCAUUCUACACGCAACUGUUAGCUACAGAGGGAAAAUGCACAUCGACGGAUGUCUAUGGUUAAUACUAUUCGGCAAGAUACUCUGUCGUGUUUAUCCUAGUACCAAAGGAUAAUACUUACAUGAUUAUAUAAUGUUUCCCUUUUACUUUUAUUUUGUGACAUGCUCACAUAAACGAUGAAGUAGACUAUAUUUUGAUAAUAAUAGUUACACAUGGGAAAAUUACACACUUUUACAAGAAGUAAACAUAAAAAACAAUCGGGUCUUGGUAGAAGAUUACUUUUUAUACUAGUAGGAAAUUGUUGGAUUAGUGUCUAAGUCCAUAACUAUUUUGGUAUGUUCUUGACCCGAUGGUGCAUGGUCCUUUUAGGUUGCCUUCACCAAAGCAACUUGAUAGGAUGAAUUAUGGAGAGAAAGGAUUAAAUAUGAUUUAUUAAUAUAUUAUGAGAAUAAUAUAUUAAAGGAGAAAUCAUAUUGUUUAAUUAAUAUUAGUCAAGAAUUAAUUAGUAAUUAGUUUUGUGACUAAAAGAGAUUAAUUAAACUUAAGGGACUGGAAUUGUAAUUAUAAGAUAAUUGCAAUUUGGGCCAUGGAUUGCCUUGUAUUAUGAGGUGGACGAAUUCUAUGGGGGAAGCCCAUAUGAANNNNNNNNNNNNNNNNNNNNNNNNNNNNNNNNNNNNNNNNNNNNNNNNNNNNNNNNNNNNNNNNNNNNNNNNNNNNNNNNNNNNNNNNNNNNNNNNNNNNNNNNNNNNNNNNNNNNNNNNNNNNNNNNNNNNNNNNNNNNNNNNNNNNNNNNNNNNNNNNNNNNNNNNNNNNNNNNNNNNNNNNNNNNNNNNNNNNNNNNNNNNNNNNNNNNNNNNNNNNNNNNNNNNNNNNNNNNNNNNNNNNNNNNNNNNNNNNNNNNNNNNNNNNNNNNNNNNNNNNNNNNNNNNNNNNNNNNNNNNNNNNNNNNNNNNNNNNNNNNNNNNNNNNNNNNNNNNNNNNNNNNNNNNNNNNNNNNNNNNNNNNNNNNNNNNNNNNNNNNNNNNNNNNNNNNNNNNNNNNNNNNNNNNNNNNNNNNNNNNNNNNNNNNNNNNNNNNNNNNNNNNNNNNNNNNNNNNNNNNNNNNNNNNNNNNNNNNNNNNNNNNNNNNNNNNNNNNNNNNNNNNNNNNNNNNNNNNNNNNNNNNNNNNNNNNNNNNNNNNNNNNNNNNNNNNNNNNNNNNNNNNNNNNNNNNNNNNNNNNNNNNNNNNNNNNNNNNNNNNNNNNNNNNNNNNNNNNNNNNNNNNNNNNNNNNNNNNNNNNNNNNNNNNNNNNNNNNNNNNNNNNNNNNNNNNNNNNNNNNNUUGAUCUAAUUGAAGAUAUUUAUCAAUUAAUAAAAUAUUUGUUUCCUUAUGUGAUAAUUGAUUAAUUAUUUUGAUUAAAUUGGUAAAUUGUUUUGCAAGAAAUCACUAAAUAAAUCUAAUAUGGAUAAUUAUGUGAUUAAUUGUUAAGUUAGAUUAUUUGUUAUUUGAUCCUUGUGUUAUGAAAAGUUUCACAUUUUCCCCUUUAGGUUUUAUAGUUUAAAUUUGACCUCAAAAGUUUUGUUGUUUUGAAAUUUAAAUAGUUGAAACCCUAAUGUUUUGAAAAAGGUUUCAAAACUUGCCCUCAAGUUUUGGAAUUUAAAUUUUGAUUAAUUAGUUUAAUUUUGAUGUAUAUUUAAAUUCUAAACCCUAAUGUGUUGAAAUGUUUCAAAACUUGCCCUCAAGUUUUGGAAUUUAAAAGUUGAUUAAAAGUUUAAUUAGGAAUGUUAAAUUCUAAAACUCUAGUAUUGUUUUGAAAAAGUUCAAAUCACACCCUUAUGGUUUUAUUAAUUAAUUAAGGUGUAUAAUUAAAAGAGGUUUAAUAAAUCCAUAAAAGUUUAGGUUUACAAUUUAAUUGAAUUAAAAGUAUAAUUGUUAAAUUUGACCACCUAAUAUUUUAAAAGUGUAAAAUACACCCUAUACUAUAUAUAACAUUAAAAGUCUAACAUUAUAUAUAUGUAUGAGUAAAAGUCAGUCUUACCGUUAGUAGGCCUCAUUCACGAAGCUGGUCUAUAAGGGGUGUUUAAGGAAAUUGCCUAUAAAAUGGCGAUUGAAUGGGUAUCCACUCUUACCCACCGCACUCUUGACUAGUGGAGGGUCGUUAGCCGAACGGGUAGGAUAGGACGAAACCUUCCAUUAUAAGUAUAAUGAAUUAUUAAAGUAACUAAAUCUUUUCAUAAAAUUCCCAAUCUUAGUUACUUAGGCAAAAGUGAAUUGAUGCAAUUCCAUGAAAUUACACUUUGAGCCCUUGCGAAGACGUUAGUGGAGCGUGUGUGGUUUACUGGCACACUAAAUGGUUCUAAGCAAAGGUAGAAAAGGGUGACUCAAUGUUUGUCAUAGUUCGGUGGAGCGUGUGUGGUUUGCCGGCACAUCGAAUAGAUGACUGUAACAUGUGAGGGCACCAUGUAAGUUUGCAUGGUUAUUCACACCCGCUUGUGAUCCUCGGCAUAUCAGUCACAAAUAAGAGGGGCAUAUCGAGAUAUAAACAUGCCAUUGAAGUGUUCAAUGAAUCUCAUAGAAUCUAGGAGUUUUCAUAGAUUUAAAACUUAAAUUUCUUUUUCUUUUUUCAUGGUGGAAAUUAGUGAAUGGUCAUUCACUUACCUUCAAAUGUUCUGCAAUUUGGGUUACGGCAUCACUCUCCCGAGUUUUAGAAUAUUGUGUUGGGUCCUAGCCUUAGUAUAUCAUUUGGGUGAUUUACUAAGGACUCAAUCAAUCAACUAACUUGAAUUUGUUUUCUCCCGUUUUGUAGAUGUCAAAGUUUGGAAACUAUGGUCUUCUCAAAUCCCGUGGAACAAGCAUUCCUCAUGAAGAUGAUAUUCCACGAUUCAAUCGAGGAAUAAGAGAUCAUACUUCACUUACUCCUCCUCCUCCAAUUAUUUUCCCUAACCCACAAGUUCAAAGUCUUGAAAAGUUCAAGAUCACUCAAGCCCUUUUGGCAAGUUAACAUAAAGAAGGAAAGUCGAUGUGUGCACUCGUCCUAGGGAUGAAGUCACACAUUGAUAGGUUAAUAAUGAUGGGAUCCGUUGUCGGUGAGGAGAUGGUUGUUGAUUGGGUUCUUCAGUCACUUCCUAACUCGUAUAGUGAGUUCGUAAGAGAGUACUGUAUGAUGAACCACGACGUGACCCUUAUAGAUCUCACCUACAUGCUUAUUGCUGCUGAAUCAGCAAUGGUUUUGCGCAAUAGAAAAGCAAAGUUGAUUGGUGAAUCUGCCUUCAAGACCUCUAUUGAUAUAGACAAUGGCAACGAAAGACAUGCUAUGAUCGAAAAGUCUGAUCAUAAGAGAAAGGCAAUGUCUAAAGUAGUUCCAUGUCCUGUUCCAAGAGAGUCAAUUUGCUUUUAUUUCCAAGAGAAGGGGCAUUGGAGACGAAGUUGCCAUAUUUACCUAAGAGAUCUAACAGAUGGGAAAGUCAAAACGUAUGGCUCUACUCUAGGUAAAAUCCAUUGACUAACUCUUUUAAGCUCCUGUUCUAGAUUCUUAAUACAUAAUGUGAUAAGAUUACAUUUGAUGUUUUGUAGAAUCGAAUAAAUUUUGUUCUAGAUUCUUGAAGAUUAGAUUCUUGAGCUACUACUUAGAGUUAGAAUUAGAUUGCUAAGAAAGAUGUAUUAGCAUAGUUUUUUAGUGAAUUGCAUUAUAAGGACGAAUUUUUCCGCAAUAAAAUAAAUUUUGAUUUUAUAUUAUUUAUUUAUCCUUGCAAUGGCGUAUAUGAAAAAUUGAUGUUUGAAUGUUUCUAUUAUUAGCAAUAAUGGAUUUGGUUCUUAUUUAUGUUAUUUAUGGAAAGUCGAGAAUUUACCAAAUAGGGAGAGUUUCUCAUCGCCCAAGUUUCAAUUGGACAGAAAUUUGGAAUCACGCAACUUGGUUGCAUGAUGAAUGAGAAAUUUCAUAUUUGGAAAUUAGACUAAUUCGUUGACAAAGUGUCAAGUGAAGGACUAGGAGAUCGAGCACACAAAGUUGCGUGUUGAUCCAUAAGAGUAACAAUGAUAUUCGUCAUGAUUCACUAAAGGUUUAGUAAAUAUGAUUAUACUUACAAGAUUAAGUGUAAUUAUGAAUUGAUUGAAAAAGUUUAAAUCAAUAGCAAAACGAAUAAGAAGAAUCAAGUAGGCAGAAAGAUAAGAGUUUCUCCAUUCUAAGAAGAAGGGAGAGUAGCUUUUAUGCUUUAUGAUAGGUCUUAAUGAUUAAGAACCAUAUCUCAAUUGAUCCUCUAAGUGAGUCUUAGUACAAUUGUAUGUUUAAGAAGAGGAAUCAAGGAUUGAAGAAAUGGUUAAAUCAAGAAGUCAAUCAUACUUCGUUCCAAAAACAAGUCUUAGAGUUAAGAUUGUGAAAUUGAGUGAUAAGUAUUAAGAAGGUUUAUAACAUUCAUCAAAUGUGGAAAGUUGUGAUGUCUUGGAUAAGACAAAGACCAACUAGGACCAAUUUAUGAAGAGUUUUGAUAAAAGCUACACUAACUCUUGAAUAUUUGUUUGUCAAGAAAUGUUUUGACAAGAGAAUCUUAUAUGUCAAGGAGUCAGUGGGAGUCUUAAUGGUCUUGAAAGGUUUCAAGAACAAAUCAAAUAAACCUUAUCGAUCAUCACUAGCACACGAGUUGAGGUUUACAACCUAUCGUGUUGACAUUAUUUUGUUUCUGUGCCAAUCCAAUCGAGUUAAUUAUGCAUGUGAGUCCUAUGAGUUCUCAUUUGAAUGCAUAAAAGGCAAGGACCUUGAUCAAUGGAAAGUACAUUGAUAAGAAAAGGUGAGCUGCUUAACUACUUGGAAGACAUGGUGGGCAGCUGUGCUACCAUAAAGGCAAGAAAUCAAGAUUAAGAAAGUUCGGUCCAUAUGAGUUUGAAUUUGUCGUAAACUUUGGUUUUAACAAAUUCACAUGGAUAGGAACACAUACACCGCUCAAAUCUAAGUGUCAUAAGAUUUCUUCCUUCAUGAAAAUGAUUGUGAGGAAAUGUUUUCACUAAGAAAGAUUUUAAGAAGAUAGUGAUUGUAAAAUUGCAUUCUCAAAUUCAAUCAUGGUUACGGUAUCCCUUUCCAUAAUUUGAAUUGUGAGGUUUGGCAAUUGUUUACACACACAUAUGAACUAUCUAAGGCAAAAGUGUAUAAGUUCAAGAAGCCUUGAUAAAAGAUUAUCAAAGCAUUAAGUAUUAGAAACAUGAACUU